CCUACGGGAGGCUGCAGUAGGGAAUCUUCCACAAUGGACGAAAGUCUGAUGGAGCAACGCCGCGUGUGUGAUGAAGGGUUUCGGCUCGUAAAACACUUUUGUAAGAGAAGAAUGACAUUGAGAGUAACUGUUCAGUGUGUGACGGUAUCUUAACAGAAAGGAACGGCUAAAUACGUGCCAGCAGCCGCCGUAAUACGUAUGUUUUAAGCGUUAUCCGGAUUUAUUGGGCGUAAAGCGAGCGCAGACGGUUAUUUAAGUCCGAAGUGAAAGCCCACAGCUUAACUGUGGAAGUGCUUUGGAAACUGGAUAACUUGAGUGCAGUAGAGGAGAGUGAAACUCCAUGUGUGGCGGUGAAAUGGGUAGAUAUAUGGAAGAACACCAGGGGCGAAGGCGGCUCUCUGGACUGUAACUGACGUUGGGGCGCGAAAGUGUGGGUAGCAAACAGGAUUAAUACCCUUGUAGUC
rnacentral:rRNA from 1 species